UGGGGAAUUUUGCACAAUGGGGGAAACCCUGAUGCAGCGACGCCGCGUGAUUUAGAAGGCCUUCGGGUUGUAAAAAUCUUUUCUAUGGGAAGAAAAUGACAGUACCAUAGGAAUAAGGACCGGCUAAUUACGUGCCAGCAGCCGCGGUAAUACGUAAGGUCCGAGCGUUGUCCGGGAUCAUUGGGCGUAAAGGGUACGUAGGCGGGUAAGCAAGUUAGAAGUGAAAUCCUGUAGCUCAACUACAGUAAGCUUUUAAAACUGCUCAUCUUGAGAUAUGGAAGGGAAAGUGGAAUUCCUAGUGUAGCGGUGAAAUGCGCAGAUAUUAGGAGGAAUACCGGUGGCGAAGGCGACUUUCUGGCCAUAAUCUGACGCUGGGGUACGAAAGCGUGGGUAGCAAACAGG
rnacentral:rRNA from 1 species